GCUCCUUCAGCCCUUCCCUCAAUUUUUCCAUUGGAGUCCUGGGCUCAUUCUGGACAAAAAAUGGGGCAGAGACUAAAGGAAAGGCCAUCCAGAGACUGCCCUACCUUGGAAUCUAUCCCAUCUGAAGACACCAAACUCCAGCACUAUUGCGGAUGCCAAGAGACCAGGGCUUGGAUUUGGCUGUGUUCCUCUGCUGAAGGUUACAGCUACUGCCACACAGCUGUCUUUGUACAGAUCUCCCCAGAUAAAGCCACAAUGUAAGGUUCCAGAUGGCCACACUUAUUUGGAGACACCAUUUAACACAAUUCUACUUCUACUUCCAUGAGUACCUGGUGAAGAAGACACAGCCAGAGCUUUGAUCAAAGAUUCCAAAUGCAAAUAUAACUAACCAUCCAACUGGUCCCAUCAGCCA
rnacentral:lncRNA from 1 species